rnacentral:rRNA from 1 species
GAUGAACGCUAGCGGCAGGCUUAACACAUGCAAGUCGAGGGGUAUAGGUUUUCGGACCUAGAGACCGGCGCACGGGUGCGUAACGCGUAUGCAAUCUACCUUUCACAGAGGGAUAGCCCAGAGAAAUUUGGAUUAAUACCUCAUAGUGUCUGGUUUUCGCAUGGAGACCAGAUUAAAGUUCCAACGGUGAAAGAUGAGCAUGCGUCCCAUUAGCUAGAUGGUAAGGUAACGGCUUACUAUGGCAACGAUGGGUAGGGGUCCUGAGAGGGAGAUCCCCCACACUGGUGACUGAGACACGGGACCAGACUCCUACGGGAGGCAGCAGUGAGGAAUAUUGGUCAAUGGACGCAAGUCUGAACCAGCCAUGCCGUGUGCAGGAUGACGGUCCUAUGGAUUGUAAACUGCUUUUUGUACGAGAAGAAACACUCCUACGUGUAGGGGCUUGACGGUAUCGUAAGAAUAAGGAUCGGCUAACUCCGUGCCAGCAGCCGCGGUAAUACGGAGGAUCCAAGCGUUAUCCGGAAUCAUUGGGUUUAAAGGGUCCGUAGGCGGUUUAGUAAGUCAGUGGUGAAAGCCCAUCGCUCAACGGUGGAACGGCCCAUUGAUACUGCUAGACUUGAAUUAUUAGGAAGUAACUAGAAUAUGUAGUGUAGCGGUGAAAUGCUUAGAGAUUACAUGGAAUACCAAUUUGCGAAGGCAGGUUACUACUAGUGGAUUGACGCUGAUGGACGAAA